GACGAACGCUGGCGGCGUGCUUAACACAUGCAAGUCGAACGGAAAGGCCCUGCUUUUGUGGGGUGCUCGAGUGGCGAACGGGUGAGUAACACGUGAGUAACCUGCCCUUGACUUUGGGAUAACUUCAGGAAACUGGGGCUAAUACCGGAUAGGAGCUCCUGCUGCAUGGUGGGGGUUGGAAAGUUUCGGCGGUUGGGGAUGGACUCGCGGCUUAUCAGCUUGUUGGUGGGGUAGUGGCUUACCAAGGCUUUGACGGGUAGCCGGCCUGAGAGGGUGAACGGCCACCAUGGGCCUACGAGACGGCCCAGACUGCAACGGGAGGCAGCAGUCGGGAACAUUACAGAAUGGGCGGACGCCUGAUGCAGCAACGCCGCGUGCGGGAUGACGGCCUUCGGGGUGUAAACCGCUGUCGACCGUGACGAAGAGUUAGUGACGGUAAUGGGUAAAGAAGCACCGGCUAACUACGUG
rnacentral:rRNA from 1 species